rnacentral:lncRNA from 1 species
CUAGGUUUCAUCCAACCAAAAAGUCUAUUUCUCUGGUUCCAUGAUUAUAAAAUUCUCAAAAAAUUUAAAAGUACAUCUUUACAUAAUGUUUUAUACAAUGUAUUUUCAUUUUUCUUAAAACUUCUAGGUUGAGAUCACCAAAAAAAAGUAAAAGACAAAAUUGUGUAAUAAACAAUGACCAGUUAAGGAAGAAAGUGAAGAGCAAAGAGCUGAGUGAUAAAAGAGAAAGAGGGAAUAACAAAGAAGAGCAAACAAAAAAGAAUGGUCAGGGAAUCAUCAAGCAUAAAAGAAGCUGCAUUUAUACUUCAGAGAAUUCAGUCUACUCCACACUACAGUCUAUUCUGUACAUCUCUGACUUUAAGAUUCGAACAGGACUGAAGACCUCAGAGGUAGUCACUGAGAGCUCAUGAUUUAAAUGGCGCCAUCAGAUCACUAAGGGUGUUUUCUUGGGCACUGCCUACACUUUCUAAAACACUUUCCUAUUUUCUAGCCAGCCAUUUUCAGACAGUUCUUAAAUCUUUCAACAUUAAAAAUAAAAAAGGAUAAGAGAAAAAAAUUGAUUUUUUAAAAGGCAAGAAUCUAGCCUCUAAUUGUUCAGUUUAUUCUAUCUCGUACAUAACUGCAAUCAAAUCCUCUAAACCAUUUUGCACACUGAACAGAUAUAGUGCUUCAUGAAGACGGUCACUUUAAACAUCUGUAACACUCUGACCUUUUUCUACUCUUACAUGUUUAAGCACAUAGAUAUUGUCUGCUUAAUAAUUAGUAAGUAGUAAUAAAGUUUAUUCUGUACUAUUAAGUUGGAACAGAAAUUUCUAUUUAAAAACCC